rnacentral:lncRNA from 1 species
AAGGAGGCCGGGCGACGCAUCAUCAGAGCUGAUGCAGUGGGCAGGGCCUGGGAAGUUCUCCUCUCUGUCUCUGCCUUGCGGAGGCCUGAGAACAUGCAAGGCAUGCUGGAGGCCGCAUGGCUGCAGAUGUAAACCCUAACCAGUUUGUGCAAGUACGUGCUGCCCUCGAGGCGUGAGACUCUUCCAGAGAAGAUGCUACACAGAGAUGAACCCCUGCAGAAGGUGUGGUGAAGCACCCCACUGUGGCUGCCGUGGUUCAUUUUAAGCAAUCACCAAUAGACCCUGUUCAACAAGUGAGGAAGCUCGAUGUUCUCCCUAAUGAAGUUGGUGCCCGGUUCUGCAGACUGCCGAGGAGAGGGUGCCGAGACCCUCGGGAGUUUCCCGCUCACUCACAUGUGGCCUCCAGAGAAACAGCCAGGCUCCCCACUGCUCCUGGGGUGCUACAGACCUGGACACAGCCAUGCUUGUAGUCUAGCUGCACAUAACCGACAGUGACAUGAGGGUGCAGGAGGGAGGUCUGAGGAAGAGCCACACGGGAAGAGAGCUCCAAGCCCACCCGCUUCCCUCGUCUUCAGCUCUUCCAGGCCCAUAGGCUUCCUUCUUAAGGCCAAAACCAUACUAGCUGCUGGCCAGAGCCCUGCCGCUGAGUAGAGCCGACUCACCUCAGGGCAGGGUCCUGUUUCCUGUGUGAACCUUCCCUCUAAGUCCGGCAGACACGGCCCCAGUCAUGUCCAUCAGGAUACCCAGUGGCAGGACUAGAAUGUGACCUUGUCCCAGCUCACACUGGGGUGGCUCCCCCCAUGGUCAGAGACCACGGCGCCAUCUUGCUUCAGCCCUGCAGUUGGUUUUCAUUUUUCUCACAUCAGUCGCAGCGUUAUUUCUACACGAGGGCGUGAUUCUUGGAAAGAUUUUUCCUUGCCAGACUAUAUCUAUUAAAAAUGGGGACUGUGUCCCCUGAGUUUGUGCUCUUUAGGGCAUAGCAUGUG